rnacentral:rRNA from 1 species
CCAGCAGCCGCGGUAAUACGUAGGGUGCAGCGUGUCCGGAAUUAUUGGGCGUAAAGAGCUCGUAGGCGGUUUGUCGCGUCUGCUGUGAAAUCCCGAGGCUCAACCUCGGGCUUGCAGUGGGUACGGGCAGACUAGAGUGCGGUAGGGGAGAUUGGAAUUCCUGGUGUAGCGGUGGAAUGCGCAGAUAUCAGGAGGAACACCGAUGGCGAAGGCAGAUCUCUGGGCCGUAACUGACGCUGAGGAGCGAAAGCAUGGGGAGCGAACAGGAUUAGAUACCCUGGUAGUCCAUGCCGUAAACGUUGGGCGCUAGAUGUAGGGACCUUUCCACGGUUUCUGUGUCGUAGCUAACGCAUUAAGCGCCCCGCCUGGGGAGUACGGCCGCAAGGCUAAAACUCAAAGGAAUUGACGGGGGCCCGCACAAGCGGCGGAGCAUGCGGAUUAAUUCGAUGCAACGCGAAGAACCUUACCAAGGCUUGACAUACACCGGAAACGGCCAGAGAUGGUCGCCCCCUUGUGGUCGGUGUACAGGUGGUGCAUGGUUGUCGUCAGCUCGUGUCGUGAGAUGUUGGGUUAAGUCCCGCAACGAGCGCAACCCUCGUUCUAUGUUGCCAGCGGGUUAUGCCGGGGACUCAUAGGAGACUGCCGGGGUCAACUCGGAGGAAGGUGGGGAUGACGUCAAAUCAUCAUGCCCCUUAUGUCUUGGGCUUCACGCAUGCUACAAUGGCCGGUACAAAGGGCUGCGAUACCGUAAGGUGGAGCGAAUCCCAAAAAGCCGGUCUCAGUUCGGAUUGAGGUCUGCAACUCGACCUCAUGAAGUCGGAGUCGCUAGUAAUCGCAGAUCAGCAACGCUGCGGUGAAUACGUUCCCGGGCCUUGUACACACCGCCCGUCAAGUCAUGAAAGUCGGUAACACCCGAAGCCGGUGGCCUAACCCUUGUGGAAGGAGCCGUCGAAGGUGGGAUCGGUGAUUAGGACUAAGUCGUAACAAGGUAACCCCC